rnacentral:rRNA from 1 species
UGGCGGCGUGCCUAAUACAUGCAAGUCGAGCGGACAGAUGGGAGCUUGCUCCCUGAUGUUAGCGGCGGACGGGUGAGUAACACGUGGGUAACCUGCCUGUAAGACUGGGAUAACUCCGGGAAACCGGGGCUAAUACCGGAUGGUUGUUUGAACCGCAUGGUUCAAACAUAAAAGGUGGCUUCGGCUACCACUUACAGAUGGACCCGCGGCGCAUUAGCUAGUUGGUGAGGUAACGGCUCACCAAGGCAACGAUGCGUAGCCGACCUGAGAGGGUGAUCGGCCACACUGGGACUGAGACACGGCCCAGACUCCUACGGGAGGCAGCAGUAGGGAAUCUUCCGCAAUGGACGAAAGUCUGACGGAGCAACGCCGCGUGAGUGAUGAAGGUUUUCGGAUCGUAAAGCUCUGUUGUUAGGGAAGAACAAGUACCGUUCGAAUAGGGCGGUACCUUGACGGUACCUAACCAGAAAGCCACGGCUAACUACGUGCCAGCA